AUGCAGUCGUGCGAGAAAACCCCUUCGGGGGUGAGUACAGCGGCGGACGGGUGAGUAACACGUGAGCGAUCUACCCGGUGGCGGGGGACAACCCAGGGAAACCUGGACUAAUACCGCAUACAGCGGAGGGAGUAGGUGCCCUUCGUGAAAGCUGGCCUCUCCAUGGAAGCUAGCGUCGCCGGAGGAGCUCGCGGCCUAUCAGCUUGUUGGUGGGGUAACGGCCUACCAAGGCGAUGACGGGUAGCUGACGUGAGAGCGUGACCAGCCACACUGGGACUGAGACACGGCCCAGACUCCUACGGGAGGCAGCAGUGGGGAAUAUUGCGCAAUGGGCGAAAGCCUGACGCAGCGACGCCGCGUGGGGGAGGAAGGCCCUAGGGUUGUAAACCCCUGUCAGGUGGGACGAACCCUGGGUCGACGAAUAGUUGGCUCAGCUGACGGUACCAUCAGAGGAAGCUCCGGCUAACUCCGUGCCAGCAGCCGCGGUAACACGGGGGGAGCAAGCGUUGUUCGGAAUCACUGGGCGUAAAGCGCGCGUAGGCGGCCGAGUAAGUCGUAUGUGAAAGACCGGGGCUCAACUCCGGUAUUGCAUGCGAUACUGCCCGGCUGGAGAAAGG
rnacentral:rRNA from 1 species